rnacentral:rRNA from 1 species
UACAGAGGAUGCAAGCGUUAUCCAGAAUGAUUGGGCGUAAAGCGUUUGUAGGUGGCUUUUUAAGUCCGCCGUCAAAUCCCAGGGCUCAACUCUGGACAGGCGGUGGAAACUACCAAGCUGGAGUACGGUAGGGGCAGAGGGAAUUUCCGGUGGAGCGGUGAAAUGCGUAGAGAUCGGAAAGAGCACCAACGGCGAAAGCACUCUGCUGGGCCGACACUGACACUGAGAGACGAAAGCUAGGGGAGUGAAUGGG